UACGGAGGGUGCAAGCGUUAAUCGGAAUUACUGGGCGUAAAGCGUGCGCAGGCGGUUUGUUAAGUCUGUUGUGAAAUCCCCGAGCUCAACUUGGGAAUUGCAAUGGAUACUGGCAGGCUGGAGUAUGGUAGAGGAAGGUGGAAUUCCCGGUGUAGCAGUGAAAUGCGUAGAGGUCGGGAGGAACACCAGUGGCGAAGGCGGCCUUCUGGACCAAUACUGACGCUCAUGCACGAAAGCGUGGGGAGCAAACAGG
rnacentral:rRNA from 1 species